ensembl:snoRNA
AUCCUUUUGUAGUUCACAAGCAUGAUGACAGGUUGUUCACACUGUUAAUGUGACAUGUGCCUCCCUCAAACCUUGUUACAACCUCAGCACAUUACCUUACAUGAUU